CUUGUGCCAGCAGCCGCGGUAAUACAGAGGGUGCAAGCGUUAAUCGGAAUUACUGGGCGUAAAGCGCCCGUAGGUGGUUCGUUAAGUUGGAUGUGAAAUCCCCGGGCUCAACCUGGGAACCGCAUUCAAAACUGACGAGCUAGAGUAUGGUAGAGGGUGGUGGAUUUCCUGUGUAGCGGUGAAAUGCGUAGAUAUAGGAAGGAACACCAGUGGCGAAGGCGACCACCUGGACUGAUACUGACACUGAGGUGCGAAAGCGUGGGGAGCAAACAGGAUUAGAU
rnacentral:rRNA from 1 species